AUGGCUGCGUCUUCCUGUCACUGUGCUCCCCCACGGCCCACCCCGGCACAUUGUGCAGCACUACAUUCUGUGAGUCUCUUCCAUUUCACAGCAAAAUUUCUAAUGAUAAGGUUACACUGUGCAAUUAUGAUAUCUAAAUUCCAAUUUAAAAUAAUUGGUAUUUUCUAUCCCCCCCAGGGGGCGGGGCGCACAAGCUCCCAGAAACAAGAGAUCGUGGUAUAUUUUCGCCAGUCCUCCCCGGAGGACCUCAGCCUGGCUCCUGGGAGACAGAACAAGGCGAUUGACAUGAGUGCGAUUGCACUGGCUGCGCGUGCGGGCCAUUUGUGUACCUCAGAGAAGUACUUUCCUGCAGAAAGCAAACUGCAUUUUGUUUCAUACACUUUAGGGUUGUUUUCAUUUUUUUCAGAUUUAAUAUGAAUGAGAUCUCCCUCUAUACUUGUUUUCUAUUGCUGUUGUAAUAAAUUACUAUAAACACGGUGGCUUGAAAUAACA
rnacentral:lncRNA from 1 species